UCAAUUUAUCAAAACUCAACAACUAUUUAUAUGACCAAAACGGUUGUAUAAAUGAUAUUAGUGAAUGUUUGUGAAUAAAACUUAGGUAGAAUUUCAUUAAAAAGAAUAUAUAUUCUAUGUAUAAAAAGACUUAAUAAAUUAUUUUAUUUCAAAAAAGCAGAUCUCACAUACUUUUAAAUUUUAAAAUUGGUAACUUUCUUCAAAAUUCCUCUUAAAAUAGUACGUCUUUCCCUUUAUAAACGGCUAAGUUACUACAUCACUUUAACUUUGAGCUUUUUGGUCCUCCGAAUACGUCCUCACAUUCUUAGUGACUUAACUAGAACUCAUCUUCCCAACUCAUCUUCCCAUGCUUUCGAGAAAACUUUGUUUUGGCUUUUUGAGAAUUGAUGAUCUUACCAUUUCUUCAAAGAGUCCUAUAAGAUUCUCAACAAAAAGCCAUACUACUUCA
rnacentral:sRNA from 1 species